AGGAUACCUUGCAGGAGUUGGUUCUCUCCGUCCACUGAUGUACCUAUGAUGUAGAACCGCCUCAUCUACACCAGCGAUGCACCUUUUGAGAAAGUGGUUCCCCCGGCACCAGCCCUCAAAGUGAAAGCUCUCAUCUCCUGCAGUGUUCUCCAGCCCUGACCUGUGCCCCACGUGGGUUUCCUCAGCCUUAGUCACAGCCAAGCAUAUCUGCUUUGGGACUUCCACAUAAGGUUCUGGGGACUGAACUCAGGCCAGCAUUUUCCUGACUGAGCCACCCUCCCCAGACCUACGGCCUUCCUGCUAAGAACACCAGUCAUGGGAUGAGACCCUAAGACAUCUUCAGUUGAUCACCUCUGUAGAGACUCCGCCCCCAGGGCUGAAGAGGUGAUUAAGAGCAUGCAGGAGAUCUGAGAAGGUGCUGUUGGAGCUGCCUCCCUCUGUCACUGCACAAGGCUCUCUGGAACCACCGAACUGGGAGAACGAUGCACCCUAGCAGCCAAGUGGCUUGGAAAACGCAUUUAGGCUCAAACAAAAGGCACCAAUUGAACAAAGCCAGCAAGACACAGCACUAAUUAGCAGCCACACUUUGUUUCUCCCCCCAUCCAGCUGCCUCUGGAAUCAGAAAACAACCAUUCGAGUGAAAGCCAUGAAAUUAAAAUGCUUUUUAAAA
ensembl:lincRNA Gm11731 predicted gene 11731